rnacentral:rRNA from 1 species
UACAGAGGGUGCAAGCGUUGUUCGGAAUUAUUGGGCGUAAAGCGCGUGUAGGCGGUGAUGUAUGUCGGGUGUGAAAGCCCUCAGCUUAACUGAGGAAGUGCGCCCGAAACUACAUCGCUAGAGUGCCGGAGAGGGUGGCGGAAUUCCCGGUGUAGAGGUGAAAUUCGUAGAUAUCGGGAGGAACACCAGUGGCGAAGGCGGCCACCUGGACGGACACUGACGUGAGACGCGAAAGCGUGGGUAGCAAACAGG